CAGAGUGGCAAGGGGGGAGGAGUUUCCUACUGGCUGCUCCCGAGCCGAAGGAGCCGCCUUCGCAUUAAGGCCACGCGCUGGUUCGGCGCAAGCCUGGUUGGUAACGGCUGACGCUUCGGGGCCGGGAGCUUUCUCCCCCUUAAUUCAGAUCAUAAGCCACAAGGGUAGAUAUUUUAAGAAGGAGAUUGACACUAAGACUGACUCAAAGAGUCCUCCAGCGAAACUUAAGUCAGCAUUCUUUCAGCAUCAGUAAAAUGGAGUUAGAAGACAACUAUGCUGGUGCGUUGGAUCCAGAA